rfam:Oryza meridionalis cultivar OR44 (W2112) chromosome 6, whole genome shotgun sequence.
AAUAAGCGCAGCCAUGAGUUUUCGCGCCCAACUUUGAUCGUCCGUCUUAUUUAAAACUUUUUUAUAAUUAGCAUUUUUGUUGUUAUGAGAUGAUAAAACAUGAAUAGUGCUUUACUCGUGACUUAUGUUUUUAAUUUUUUUCAAAAAAAUUUCAAAUAAGACGAACGGUCAAAGUUGGACACAAAAUACCAUGGCUGCACUUAUU